rnacentral:rRNA from 1 species
CAGUAGCCGCGGUAAUACGUAGGGUGCGAGCGUUAAUCGGAAUUACUGGGCGUAGAGCGUGCGCAGGCGGUUCGUUAAGACAGAUGUGAAAUCCCCGGGCUUAACCUGGGAACUGCAUUUGUGACUGGCGAGCUAGAGUAUGGCAGAGGGGGGUAGAAUUCCACGUGUUGCAGUGAAAUGCGUAGAGAUGUGGAGGAAUACCGAUGGCGAAGGCAGCCCCCUGGGCCAAUACUGACGCUCAUGCACGAAAGCGUGGGGAGCAAACAGGAUUAGAUACCCCCGUAGUCCCUGUCUCUUAUAC